UUAAAUCUAUGGAUUUAAUUUAGAAUUAUUUUACAGUCUAUAGAUACUAACAAGCGAGUAAUUAGAUAUCGAGCAGUGCAUAAACACGCGAUAUUAGUAAAAACCCGGAACUAGUAUUUCAUUGAACAAGUGAUACAUUAAUACAGAUUUGGAAUUACCAAGACAAAGGGGUUUUAUUUAUUUGCACCACAACCUACCUAGCUAUUACAAUCCUAACAUCUACCUAAGCAUGAGAAUGUUGAGUACAAAGAAAGGAUAAGUGAAUAUGUGUGCAAAAAUCUGCAGCACCCUUCACUCUCCCCUAUGCCAGCUGCCCCACCCCUCCAAUCCCCUUCUCCCUACACCCUACUACCAUCCAUUAGCACACUCAAGUGCACCAACCCUUUGCCUUCCAGCCAACAUCAAACCACAGCCAACAAAACACUGCAUUCUCCUCAUUCUACACUUAGAAAUUUUCAGAAUAACAGAUCUUCCUUCAUUCGGUCUGCCAACUUCUAGUCAUUCCAGUCCAGAAACUUUAAGGUAAACAUUGGCUUUAAUUUCUCAUCUUCUUCCAUUUGCAACCUGCAUUUAUUGAAAGGAACAGAUAUGAUUUAUUUCAGAGUCCUUCCAUAGCAGCCAACCAACACUUAUACCUCAAGGUAUUUUAUGCUAUCUCAGUUCACUAUCUUCAUAUAUACAUUUCACACCCCAACAAAGCAUGCUUCAUGUAUUAGAAGUUCAUAAAUACAAGAUGAAGUAUAUUACAGAGGGACAUAGCAAACCACAUAUGCGUACAUGAUUAUAGCAUUCCACAGAAAUAGUUUGACUCAUACAUUGAUAUAGAUUGCCACUGUACUUAGAACCGAAAGCCAUAAAGAACAAGCAUUUAACCCUUACAUAGUCAGGGACAUAAAGGCCCAAUCCUUGAUAACCAUAUGGAAGAAAAGGAGAAUAAAACUUAGCUUUUGGAAGAAGAGAGGCCUACUGCCCUGUUUGUUUGGGCCGAAGGACGUCGAGUGGGCGGCAACUCGCGGGGACAGCAGCGUCGGCGGCGUCGAGCUGUGAAAGGCAGACGACUCUCGAUCACAGCGAUGGCCCCUCGCCGAUUUUGGAGUAGCAGCAGCCACUCGGUGCACGGCGGCAGUGGAGUUUCAGGCGGAGCGACGCCGGCUUGAGGUGACAAUGUCGCCGGAGCUUCAGGUGCAGCGGCGCGGCGAAUCCCGCCGGCCUCCCAAAUUGCAGCGGCGUCGAUCUCCAGGUGAGAAAUAAGGGCACGACCCCUUUGGCCUCGAGCUGGAUUCGAGAAUUUGAGAGCGAAGGAUGGCAGAGAUGGAGGUAAGGGAGGAGGAACGAUCGCCGUUCACCAGAAUUUCAGGGGCGGCGGCGGCGGCGGCGAUUUUCGAUUUGGGGCUCUGCUUGUACAGCGGUGAAGAGAGGGUUUAGGGCGAGGAGGCGGCGCGGUCAACAGAUGAAUGCCGGCCACGCCGGCAGCUGAACGGCCGGAGAAGGAAGCGGCGGCGGCCGACGCCUCGACUGGAGGCAGAUCGAGGGAGGAGAAGGCUGAGCGUGAUUUAGGAGAGAUUAGAGAGAGAGAGAGAGAGAAAGGGGGAGAGAGGCGUUCUGAUUUUUGAGAGAGGAGUUUCGAGAGGAGAGUGAGAUGGACGAGAGGCGCCGCCCUCGGCCAGGCGCGGCCGCGCCGGAGUCGCGGCGGCGGACGCCUCGUCUGAAGGCGAGGAGAGUGAGAGGGAGAAGGAGGCGUGCGUCUGUUUGAGAAGAGGGAGAGACUGAGUGGGAGAGAUAAGAAAGGGUUGGGCCAUUCCUUGGGCCUCAAACUUUUAAAAGAUUGGGCUCGCGUUUAAAUGGUUCUGGACCAUUAAUUAUUUUGGGCCAUUGUAUUUUUCCUUGGGCUGUUAAUUAUUUUACUUGGGCUCCAGAUUUAUAUAUGAAUUGCAAUUAUUUAUUUUCAUUUGAGCCCACUCUUAUUAAUUAUUUGGCUACCUUAUGUUUGGGCCUUUUAAUUAUUGGAUUAUUAUUAUUACUUCCCUCAUAUUUAUAUAAGCCCGAUUCAUGAUCAGUCCUUAUUAAUCGAUUAAUUGGACUCAGACAGUUUUAAUUACAGAUUUCGUAUUACGUAAUUAUUAAGCGAAUAAUUCGAUUGAGCUAUUUCCUUUUAAUCGAUUAUGGNCAGAAACAUUCAAGGUAUGCAUACCAUCUCAGUUAUUCAAAUUCCAUCCGCAUUUCAUACCAUCAAUCAUGAUCAGAUUCAAAUGAUAGAAGACCUAUAUAAGCAUAAUGAACAUAGCCAAGUUACACUCCAUAAUGCAGAACACCAGUUACAUUUUUUUAAUGUAAGAAUUAGUGUGUAGAACUCGAGCAACUCAACAUACUAAGCACAAUGAGGAAAAUCAAGCUUUACAGUAGGGUAGAUGAGAACUUAGCUUUUAGAAAAGAGGGGCGCUGCCCUGCUUAGUCAGGCCGAGAAACGACGUCGAGUGGGCGGCAACUCGCGGGGACAGCAGCGUCGGCGGCGUCGAGCUGUGAAAGGCAGACGACUCUCGAUCACAGCAAUGGCCCCUCGCCGAUUUUGGAGUAGCAGCAGCGACUCGGUGCACGGCGGCGGUGGAGUUUCAGGCGGAGCGAUGCCGGCUUGAGGUGACAAUGUCGCCGGAGCUUCAGGUGCAGCGGCGCGGCGAAUCCCGCCGGCCUCCCAAAUUGCAGCAGGCGUCGAUCUCCAAGGUGAGAAAUAAGGGCUCGCUCCCUUUGGCCUCGAGCUGGAUUCGAGAAUUUGAGAGCGAAGGAUGGCAGAGAUGGAGGUAAGGGAGGAGGAACGAUCGCCGUUCACCAGAAUUUCAGGGGCGGCGGCGGCGAUUUCCGAUUUGGGAGAGCUAGGGCUCGAUUUUGGAAGGGGGAGAGAAUUAGGGCUCAAUUUUGGGUGGCCUCCCCUAAAUCUGAGAGACAGCAGCAGAAGCUCGGCCGGCACGGCCUCGCCGGAGCCGUUCGCGGCGGAACCGGCUGGAGGCGGAGCGAGGGAGAGAG
rnacentral:lncRNA from 1 species